GGAAACAUCCAGCGCAGCCGAGAAACAACAAAAUAAUUUAACAGAAGCUUUAUUAUAACUAUUGGCAUAAUCUCACCAAAUAUAAAGUUGUUUCUUGGGUGCGCACAUACUUUUUCAAUCAAAAAUAUACUUAAAAUUUAAUGAAAAAUCAAGGAAAAUCACGUAUUUUAACAAAAUAUGCAAAUUAGGUCAUGAUUUGUUACCAUGGUAACUUGUUCGAUGUCAAAUUUGUUCUGAUUUUCUUAGUACCUUAUACCUAAGUCAAGUUUUCGGUUAUUUAAG
rnacentral:lncRNA from 1 species